rnacentral:rRNA from 1 species
UCAGUAACGGCGAGUGAAGCGGUAACAGCUCAAAUUUGAAAGCUGGCUCUUUUAGGGUCCGCGUUGUAAUUUGUAGAAGAUGCUUCGGGUGUGGCCCCGGUCUAAGUUCCUUGGAACAGGACGUCAUAGAGGGUGAGAAUCCCGUAUGUGACUGGGUGCUUUCGCUCAUGUGAAGCUCUUUCGACGAGUCGAGUUGUUUGGGAAUGCAGCUCAAAAUGGGUGGUAAAUUUCAUCUAAAGCUAAAUAUUGGCCAGAGACCGAUAGCGCACAAGUAGAGUGAUCGAAAGAUGAAAAGCACUUUGGAAAGAGAGUUAAACAGUACGUGAAAUUGUUGAAAGGGAAGCGCUUGCAACCAGACUUGCGCGCUGAUGAUCAUCCGGGCUUCUGCCCGGUGCACUCGUCUGCGCUCAGGCCAGCAUCGGUUUCGGUGGUGGGAUAAAGGCCUUGGGAAUGUGGCUCCUCUCGGGGAGUGUUAUAGCCCUCGGUGCAAUGCCGCCAACCGGGACCGAGGACCGCGCUUCGGCUAGGAUGCUGGCGUAAUGGUUGUAAGCGACCCGUCUUGAAACACGGACCAAGGAGUCUAACAUCUAUGCGAGUGUUUGGGUGUCAAACCCAUACGCGUAAUG